ACAAAGCGUCACGCCACACGCGCGCGCUCAUCGACCGAGAUUCCGAAUUCCAAGCACUGUCUUUCCUCCUUCGCGAUGUCGCGCUUUUUCGAAAUACACCACGUCACGAAGUCGAGACACAACUCGUCGACAAGCACGAAGCACGACAGUGGGUCGACGAUCCGGUGAAUAUUGCGGUAACGUCGCACGAUAUUCUCGUCUUACGUUUGAUACGUAGAUUCGAUAAAUCGAUUGUACGGUACGUUCCCGCGCAAUGUUGCCGUCCCAGGAAAACGCGCCAAAUUCACGGCGGCCAUACUUGAUUCGCGAGCUCGGAUCGGUGCGACGUAGCUGGCGGCGGUCGACACGGCUGCUUCGCGUUCUUCGUGUUUGUCUAUUAUCGGUGGAUUAUCCGCGACGCGUCGGGACGCCCGUGACGAGGAAUUCGUGAACGUCGAAUGACACGGAUCAUCCAAUCGCCGUGAUCGAUGCGACUAAUGUGUUCGUCACGGAUACACGUAUCUCACUAGCCGUAUCAUCCCACAGCUCUCAUUAGAAGGGAUGGGUAGCUCGCUAAUAACUGUGAUCAACUGCUUUUGGCCCGAUAUUCGGUUUCACCGAAUUUUUUUACGUCGAUUUAUAACACGGCGACAGCCGAGACAACAAAGACCUUGUAAUCAAAAUGAGAGGCGGAGGGGUGACGAAGGUAGGAGCAGCAAAGCAAGUCCGAAAUUGUUUCGCGAGAAGGUUGACGACGAUCUGGGAAAACCGAUUGUUUGCGAGCAUCAUAGGAUGACGUUUACCCAACACCAAGAUUCAUAGUUUUCUAACUGGUGCAGCUAAAGAGACAACAGACACAAUUCUGUCAUCGAAGGUAGGAUAUCAGCGCAGGAUGGUAAGUGAUGUUUUGUUUAUGUCAAUACAUUGAUGCAAUUGGUUUGGUAUUGUUACAUCAGAACAAGAUUUCCAAUUGUGAAAUCUGUACUCCAAAAAUUGAGAAAAGUUUAAAGAUUAUGAACUUAUAUAUAUUUAAUUUAAAACAAAAUUAAUUUACUGAAUGCAGUGAUUUAAAAAUAAAGGAUCCAGAAAUACCAUUACUUUUUCUUCAGUUUUUAUAUAUAUUUGUCUUAUCAAAUUGAUCUUAUUGAAUAUUUUAUAAAAUUAUUUUUUAUUUAAAUAUUUUUUUAUUUUAACUUUAAUUCUUGUUCAUAGUUUAUUGAUGUUGACAUUUAUUUUUUUUACUUUGUUUUUAAAAUUACAUAAACAUGGUAAAUAUUA